AGAUCACAUCUUGAUUGUUAGCAUCACACCCAUUUGGAUUGACAACCUUCAGUACUACAACGACAUGAUAGUGCUUUAGGUUUAAUUGACUAAAAAACCGAUCAUCAACUGUUGUCUAAACACUCCUAAUUCAUCUCUAACUCUG
rnacentral:sRNA from 1 species